rnacentral:rRNA from 1 species
ACUGUGAACUGCGAAUGGCUCAUUAAAUCAGUUAUCGUUUAUUUGAUAGUACCUUACUACAUGGAUACCUGUGGUAAUUCUAGAGCUAAUACAUGCUAAAAACCCCGACUUCAGGAAGGGGUGUAUUUAUUAGAUAAAAAACCAACGCCCUUCGGGGCUCCUUGGUGAAUCAUAAUAACUUAACGAAUCGCAUGGCCUUGCGCCGGCGAUGGUUCAUUCAAAUUUCUGCCCUAUCAACUUUCGAUGGUAGGAUAGUGGCCUACCAUGGUGGCAACGGGUAACGGGGAAUUAGGGUUCGAUUCCGGAGAGGGAGCCUGAGAAACGGCUACCACAUCCAAGGAAGGCAGCAGGCGCGCAAAUUACCCAAUCCCGAUACGGGGAGGUAGUGACAAUAAAUACUGAUACGGGGCUCUUUCGGGUCUCGUAAUUGGAAUGAGAACAAUUUAAAUCCCUUAACGAGGAACAAUUGGAGGGCAAGUCUGGUGCCAGCAGCCGCGGUAAUUCCAGCUCCAAUAGCGUAUAUUAAAGUUGUUGCAGUUAAAAAGCUCGUAGUUGAACCUUGGGUCUGGCUGGCCGGUCCGCCUCACCGCGAGUACUGGUCCGGCUGGACCUUUCCUUCUGGGGAACCCCAUGGCCUUCACUGGCUGUGGGGGGAACCAGGACUUUUACUGUGAAAAAAUUAGAGUGUUCAAAGCAGGCCUUUGCUCGAAUACAUUAGCAUGGAAUAAUAGAAUAGGACGUGCGGUUCUAUUUUGUUGGUUUCUAGGACCGCCGUAAUGAUUAAUAGGGAUAGUCGGGGGCGUCAGUAUUCAGCUGUCAGAGGUGAAAUUCUUGGAUUUGCUGAAGACUAACUACUGCGAAAGCAUUCGCCAAGGAUGUUUUCAUUAAUCAGGGAACGAAAGUUAGGGGAUCGAAGACGAUCAGAUACCGUCGUAGUCUUAACCAUAAACUAUGCCGACUAGGGAUCGGACGGGAUUCUAUGAUGACCCGUUCGGCACCUUACGAGAAAUC